UGGGGAAUAUUGCACAAUGGGCGCAAGCCUGAUGCAGCCGUGCCGCGUGUGUGAAGAAGGCCUUCGGGUUGUAAAGCACUUUCAGCGAGGAGGAAGGUGGUGAACUUAAUACGUUCAUCAAUUGACGUUACUCGCAGAAGAAGCACCGGCUAACUCCGUGCCAGCAGCCGCGGUAAUACGGAGGGUGCAAGCGUUAAUCGGAAUUACUGGGCGUAAAGCGCACGCAGGCGGUUUGUUAAGUCAGAUGUGAAAUCCCCGGGCUCAACCUGGGAACUGCAUUUGAAACUGGCAAGCUAGAGUCUCGUAGAGGGGGGUAGAAUUCCAGGUGUAGCGGUGAAAUGCGUAGAGAUCUGGAGGAAUACCGGUGGCGAAGGCGGCCCCCUGGACGAAGACUGACGCUCAGGUGCGAAACGCGUGGGGAGCAAACAGGAUAGAUACCCUGGUAGUCCACGCUGUAAAACGAUGUCGAUUUGGAGGUUGUGCCCUUGAGGCGUGGCUUCCGGAGCUAACGCGUUAAAUCGACCGCCU
rnacentral:rRNA from 1 species